AAGACAGGUCGGGCAAUCGCGGUGUACGAAAGUGCGUCGAGGAAGGUCCGGACUCCAUAGGGCGGGAUAACGGCUAACGGCCGUCCGGCUGUUUACGGGCUUUGUCCGCAAGCAGCCGAGGAAUAGGGCCACAGAGACGAGUCUGCGGCGCGGGCGUGCUUUCGGGCGCGCACCGGUACGGCUAUCUCCGUACUGCGUCAGACGCUUUGCGUCGGGCGGCGUGGCAGGGUGAAACGCGGUAACCUCUAUCCGGAGCAACACCAAAUAGGCAUGCGCACGGUCUUCGGACCUGAGGGGCGGCUCGUCCCAGUAUGCGGGUAGGUGGCUACAGCGGCUCAGCAAUGAUCCGCGCAGAGGAAUGAUUGCCCGUCGGGGUGACCCGGCGUACAGAAUCCGGCCUAUAGACCUGUCUUGCAG
rnacentral:RNase_P_RNA from 1 species